UUACUCACAUUAAUUCUGUCACCUGUAUUAUAGAUUCAGGUGCCUCUAAUCACAUGACACAUGAUAAACAACUACUUUUUAACAUUAUACCUCUAACUCUGCCAUAUCUUGUCACUCUUCCAAAUGUAUGUUAACUGAGAACCCUAUUUCUGAUUCCAAACUUUUCUUUCUUACUCACAUUAAUUCUGUCACCUGUAUUAUAGAUUCAGGUGCCUCUAAUCACAUGACACAUGAUAAACAACUACUUUUUAACAUUAUACCUUUACCUCUGCCAUAUCUUGUCACUCUUCCAAAUGGCUAUAAAGUGAAAGUGACUUGUACUGGCUCCUUUGCCUUGACUCCUUCCAUCACUCUUCACAAUGUACUGCUAGUUCCUUCUUUUAAACACAACUUGAUUUCUGUUCACAAGUUAGUGAAGCAGUUGCAUUGUAU
rnacentral:lncRNA from 1 species